GAAUAUUGGACAAUGGGCGCAAGCCUGAUCCAGCCAUGCCGCGUGCAGGAAGAAUGUCCUAUGGACUGUAAACUGCUUUUGUACGGGAAGAACCGGGGGCACGCGUGCCCCCCUGACGGUACCGUAAGAAUAAGGAUCGGCUAACUCCGUGCCAGCAGCCGCGGUAAUACGGAGGAUCCGAGCGUUAGCCGGAAUCAUUGGGUUUAAAGGGUCCGUAGGCGGGCCGUUAAGUCAGGGGUGAAAGUCUGCGGCUCAACCGUAGGACUGCCCUUGAUACUGGUGGCCUUGAGUUGUGGUGAAGCAGCCAGAAUAUGUGGUGUAGCGGUGAAAUGCAUAGAUAUCACAUGGAAUACCGAUUGCGAAGGCAGGCUGCUAACCAUAUACUGACGCUGAUGGACGAAAGCGUGGGUAGCGAACAG
rnacentral:rRNA from 1 species